CAACACAAAGUAAUACUAGGUAAAACAAGUAGCUCCUGCUAGCACAGUUUCAUUUACAAUGUCUAAUAAAAAAGAAUGGGGCGAGAACCUCACUUGCUGGGAUGGUUAAACAAUGCCCAAAGCAGCAUCGAGAUAAGCAAGGUCAGCUUUUUAAGAUUUCAAUGGAGGUGAGAAGGGCCUUACAAGUCAAGAUACUCCUAAAUUUGAAUAAAGAACACUAUAAGACAACUACCAGCGACCUCUUAUUAGAAGUUAGCACACAAAGACUCUACUGACCAUCUUAGAAAAGUCAGUCUCAUCAAAAUAAUUCAAAUAAUUAUUUAUUCUAAUGAAAUCACUAAAUAUUGUUGAUCUCAUGCAAGUUGAAGACCCCACUAAAAUGAAAACAAGAACGUCAGGAUAGAGAUCUGUUGUUUAACUCAUAGCUACAAAUUACAAGACCAAAAGGCAAAUUGGAAACAAACUGAAUAGAAGACAAAAAACAAAGCAGUGACAAGCAUAGAAAAUUCCUGAAUGCUGCUUCAGCUAGUUGAUUGGCAGCAACAUACUAGAGACACAUAGCAAGAGGAUUUCAACGGAUUGAGGAAACACUACUCUACAAACAAAUUUAUUAUGCAAUAAUAGAUGGGAAGGCUUGGCUAUCUUAUCUCAUUAUAGCAAUCACUAUACUUGUAGAUUCAAACUUAAGAAGAUUAAGACAGCACAGAGAUAGAACUGUCUUACAAAAACUUUUGAAGAAGUGCCAAGCGUAAUAACAUCUCCAUCUGCAAGUUCAACAGGAUCACUCCAAUUUCUAGAUCCAACAUCUGGAUGCUGGACCAACUGAGAGUUCAAGAAUGUUCCGUUUAAGCUACCCAUAUCGACUAGCUCCCAUUUUGAAGUCUGCAAGAAGCCACAUAUUAUAGAUUUCUAAGAACGAAGAGGAUGUAAGAGAAAUACAUUAUAAUUUACUAAAGCAAUUAUAGAAACAUGCCAAUAAGUGAAACAAAAAAAGGGCCACAGGGGAUCCUAUUAGUGGGAACAGAAGAUAUUAUAAAACAAUUAAUCAUAGUUUGCAUCUUCAUGAUCACUAGCCUUGAUCAGUAGAAAUAAUUAUCAAAAAGCUUCCAGGCAUAAGAAACAGCGAAGGGAGUAACAAUAUAAAGCUUACAGCCUUACAUUCAUGUUCCACUUGAUAAGCGCAUGCUUUCCUGAAACCUCAGAGUCCUUCAAUAGCAAAUCACUUGGGGAAACUCUUCCAACGGUCAAUGAAAGCUUUGAAGUAUUUGUCGACUGUCGGGAACAACAAAGCCCGCGAGAGGGACCGGCUAUGACCUCCAAGUCUAGGCUGCUUCCUGCAAUUCUAAACAAAAAUCGUCAAUAACGUGCCAUAUAGAAAGCAAUUUCCUAAAAAGAACCAUAUCUAUGGAAGCAGCUUACGAAGAAAAGGAAUAUCCUUGACUGAAAACAUAUGAUUCCUGCCAUUGUCAUUAAUAGUGUCGACACCAUUGUUUAUGUCUCUUCGUACAUGUCUCAAGUCUUCAAAGCUUGCUACUGCUGCAUUCUUAAGAGUAUAACAAACUCGUGGAUCUUCAGAAGGAUCAUUUGUUACAUCAAGUACCAAACUAUCUGAGCAACAAAACUCACUUUGUCUUACCACAAAAAUUUAGAACAUAACAGGCAUUGACUAUGUAAUAUAGUUCUGUACCUUGACUAAUAUGAGAUUUAGUUGAAUGAACCCUCUUUUUAUUGAUAAAACCACGAGCGCUUGGUGAAGUGUUAUUUUCAUCAAUUUGAAUUCUUGAUUCCUCAACAAAAUUUCUAGCCAAAUCGUAGCUUUGGCCUGGCACAUCAUCCACAUUCUCGGAGAAAAGAGGCCUGUUGAGAUCAUCAGCCUGCAAAGGAAGAAAUAAGACUGAUGAUAGAACUCUGUAUAUUCUGCACUUUUAAUAUUGCAAAUAACUAAUUAGUGGAAACAGGUGCAUAGCAUUUUAUCCAAAAACAGAUAACCGAGGCAGCAAAUAAACUUCCUUGUAUUUUUUAACAUAAUUUUAUAACACCGUGUCUGAUAUUUAAUCUAUUUCAAGGAAAAGCAACAAACAAAGAAAAAGUUGGAAACUCAGAUUUUGCAACCCUUGGUUUGCAUCAACAAAUCUAAGAUUAACAGCAUAAGGCUGACUAACAUAUUUUUAUAGCAAUACCGACAUUCCUCAUACAUAAGUAGAUAACAUUGUGAAUAACUAAUUCAGAAGUUAUGCAAUUGGUAAAAAUCAUUCAACAUUGUGAUCAAAUUGGUCCUGAACCAAGUCAAAGGACAGUUUCGAAUGUAUCAGAGUAGCAAGAACACCGAUAAUGCAUUUUUAUAGAACAACUCCAUUAGUUUGCCCUUUGGUACUAAGCCUCAUACCAACCAUGGCCGAGUCAUUUAGUUUGCCUUUUGGUAUGACAUUAAACUGCAAAUUCACCACACAGUAAAUCAAAAAAGGAACAAAAAGGGACUCCAGAAACAUGUUUAUUGUAAAACUAUUUGAAAAGAUAUGUAGACUAACUAUUCGAAAAGGUCUGUGUAACGAUUUCUUUCAUCAUGUCUCAAAUCGGCUGCAUAUAGAAGUAGGCAAAAGGCCACAAGAAGCACUCUUUAUAGCUAAGCCUUGUCUGAACCGAGCAAAUUGGGUAAUGAUUCAAUUAUCCCCGGUGACACUUGUUGGAGUUUGACAUUCAUCGCAUUCCUUUACCAUCCAAAGUAUGGUAAUGACACCAGCAUUCACCAGUAUAUUCCAGUUCAGAAGUAAAAGAAACUCAUCGAAGACGCUAUCAAGAAGAUGUAGUGAAAAUAAAUUAAGGGACCUGUUGAGCCGAGUAAUGAUGCUCAAAAUUACAAAAUGUCAAGUCCUGGCAUAUGAAAACAGAUUUGCUAGUCAAAUGAUUUUUCGCUGAGACGCAAUAGCCAUCUGGUAUUUUCAGGAAUACAAAGGCCCCGAGAGAAAGCCUCUAUGCUGAACAACAAAAGUCGAAAUAUUAUUUUGAUCAGACAAGCAAAUGUCUUUAAAGAAAUACAGGCUUACAUAAUAACAAACACGAAACGUAGAACCACACCUGCGAGGUUUAUUCACCGGAAAAAGAAAACCCUUUAAUAGCCAGCGAUUUACCACAAAAUCAAAAAGACGAAAAAGACUACAGCUAGAGAUUAACAAAAGAACACAAAAAAAAAAAAAAAAAAAAAAAAAAAAAANAGCAGAAAGAUAGGCGCCGUACGGGCUUUAUAAAUAAAACCGUUAAGUCAGUGACAGAUCGCAUGCUACCAAGUUUUCCAAAAAAAAAAAAAAAAAAAAAAAAAAAAAAAAAAAAAAAAAAAAAAAAAAAAAAAAAAAAAAAAAAAAAAAAAAAAAAAAAAAAAAUUCAUACUCACGUUAUUGAUGGGAGGAGAGGGAGAGGGGCAGUAGGAGUGGGCGAAGAAGCGCCAGGGUCGGCAGGUGAGAACGAAAACGAGGAGGAGGAGGACGACGACGACGACGACGACGAUGAGGGCGGAGACGCCAAUGAGGCUCGGAGCCAUCUCCGUCGAGAGAGAUACCAAAAAGAGAGAAGAGGCGCGAAGGGCCGUUCUGAAAGGGUCGCAUCACCCCUCUUCUUCCUUCGUCCGCCCCACCUCCACCGCGCCCACUCCACAUCCCAUUGCUUCGGCUUUCUUUCUCAUAAUAAUAAUAGACGCAUCGUUUUGGGAACAAGCCGUCCUCGGUUUCAUCCCUUUAUUUAUUAUUAAAAAAUACUAGUCAAAAAAAAAAAGAAAAAAAAAAAAACCUAAAAGAAUUGUAUAAAAUUUUCUAGGCCAAUUUGCAUAAAAAAUUCACUAAUUUUGAGCUUUUAUAAAAAUAGGACACUUUUUUUAAUUUUGCAGAUUCGGACCAAAUUUUUCGCCAUCUGACCAAAAUGCUCCUUGUCUCUAUCCGCCUCACUCAUAUUCGCUCAUAUACAUAUACCACAAAAUACGGUCCCUAGGUGGGCAUUAAUUAAAUACGCCGUAAGCUUGGUUACGCAACCUCCUGCUCAUCGAAAUGCGAACCAAAUCGGCCUCGCUAUUUGCCGGCCCCGGUGUUUGCUGUUCUAUUUUUAGAAAUUAAAUAUAUCAAAACUAUCUGACAAAAACUACACGGCAAGCAAUAGAAAUAAUAGUGCAACGCGAAGAAGCAACGCGAAGGAGCAACACGAAAGAGCAACGCGAAGAUAAAUGGUGCAACAACCCUUCUAAUAGUGCAACUUGCAGGUAGUACUAGUACAAACUCCGCCGCUCACAUAUACAAUACUGGCAUUCAAUUUUCUCCCUCACCAGAGCAACAUCCCACUUCCCCGUAAGGCAGUCAAGCAGUCUUCUUCCCUAACCGUAAGAAGCUUAGAGGAGUUUAUUCCGACACUCGUUUGUAGAGGAGAAGUGGAAGAAGCGUAGGUGAGGAACAUGGCAUUAGGGCCUGGAAGUGGAGGAGGAAGGAGAGGGUUCCGCGAAGGUAGUGGUGCAAAAAAUAGGCUAGAAAUGGUGUAAUAUUCACCUAAUUACUGCAAUAGUUUAAACCAAGUGGUGCAACGAAUCUAUAAUCAAUGCAAAAAUCACUUCCCUUAGGCGUAAUAUUAAAAUAAUUAGUGCAAUAUUUUUUCGCAAAUGGUGCAACGAGUAUUUAACCAGUGCAAUUUUUCUCUGUAUUUGGUGGUAACAUAAAGGUAAUAGUGCAAACAAUACUAUAAAUGGUGUAACCUUGAACAAAACAAUGCAACUUUGUUUGCAAUCAAGUCCCUAAAUGGUAUAACGACGACCAAAAGAGAGGGAGAAUUCUCUUUCUAAUUACUACUAAAAAUUAUAUUUUAACAGUUUCAAAAUGAAGGUAGAUUAGAAAAUAUUUUGAAAAAGAUAUUAGAUUGGCAUAUUCUUUUUCAAAUACGGUUAGACAUGUAAUUCACUUGUAGAAAAAUAGAGAAAAAAAAAUCGCACACAAAAAAAAGGCCAAUUUGCAUAAAAUAUCCAUCGGUUUUGAGUUUUCGCAAAAGUAGGCUGUCUUUUUGAAUUUUGCAAAUUCUGUCCGGAUUCUUAAUAAAGUGGUUAAAAUACCUUUAUUCCUCUUUCUCUUUUCUUUUUGUUUCAUACUCUUCUUUUUUCGUACGACCUGUCUUCUUCCUUCUCGUCAUUUCUUUCUCUCUUUCUCCUCCUACUUUCUUUUCUUUCUCCUCCUCUAGUACCACCCCGACAUUAACAAUGCGCUCCUUUCUCUUACUUUGCCCACACAUCUGCUGAGGCCGGCUCGAAUAUGGUAUAGAUUACGAUGCGGUGGAAUACUUGGCCAUGGAUGGUGACGGCGAUGGCGAUGAGGGUGCCGUAGGUUUGAGGACAACGGAGAGGGAGAGUGGCGAAGGCCGCGGUGGUUGCGGCAAAGAACGAAGGAUGAGGUGUGGAAACAUAAAAGGAUGCGCAAUGUGAAAGAAAAAAAUAAAGAAAUGAAAGAACUGGAGCGAGAAAUUGUCACGCCCCGCGACCGGACCUAUUUGGUCGGUUCGGGCACGUCGAAUAGACACCGAACGGACAACACCUCUCAUGUCCGCCCAAGGCUCAACACAAGUACAAAUCGAGUAGAUAUAUUACACAUGCGGAAACAUACAUACAUACAUACAUACAUGGCUUGCACGGGGGCAAGCAAUAGCCAAAGUGAAAGAUUCUAAACUAACAAUAUACAAGUAACAUGAUCAACUUUUAACCAUAUACAUGCAUUCAACUUAUAAAUUUACAUUCUUUUCUUUAAACAUCAUUUCUUCUCUUUACAUCACAUGAUCUCCCAAAAUAUAGCUUUUCAUUCAAACAUAAGCCCUCUUUACAUUUAACAUAGUUUAAACAACUAUAAUCAUCAAAUACAAAAGAUGAUAUAAAGGGGUAUGCAACUAAGCAAAAUAUGAAACC
rnacentral:lncRNA from 1 species